UACGGGGGGGGCAAGCGUUGUUCGGAAUUACUGGGCGUAAAGGGCGCGUAGGCGGCGAUUCAAGUGACGGGUGAAAUCCCUCGGCUUAACCGAGGAACUGCCUGUCAGACUGGAUUGCUUGAGUGCAGAAGAGGAGAGCGGAAUUCCACGUGUAGCGGUGAAAUGCGUAGAGAUGUGGAGGAACACCAGUGGCGAAGGCGGCUCUCUGGUCUGUAACUGACGCUGAGGCGCGAAAGCGUGGGGAGCAAACAGG
rnacentral:rRNA from 1 species